rnacentral:pre_miRNA from 11 species
UGGUAUCAGUAUUCUCUGUAUGUGAUGGUUUGGCAGUGUACUCUUAGUUAGCUGUUGUAUAUAUUACAGCAACUAAAUACACUUCCAUAUUAUUGCAUGACUUUGCACCACUGCUUAAU